GACAACAGAAGGGACUUCCUGCCAGGGGAGGAGCUAUGAGCAGAAAGCAGUGGGAGCCCUCUCCUUCCUUGAAGACCAGGAAGAUGUGCAUCCCUCCAACCCUGCUGUGCCUGGGCUCCACCCCAUCUCCCUUCGCUCAAAGUAUUUCCUCUCAGCCAUCUCUUUGCUGACUGCUCCCUAGUCCUGGUUCUUAACCCGCAGAUAUUUAAAGUGGAAAUGAGAGAAGUGAAGUUCUGGAAAGGUGAGAAUCAAAUCCACAGCCCAUUCGUUCAGCAACUUCCUGUCUCCACCCCGUGAAGUUCAGCAGCGCAGCGGCGCAGAGGGAAUUUGCACAGAUGGUUGUGGUGGCAUGGCCCCCGAUCUGUGAGGAACUCUGGAGAAUAGAAGGGGAGCCAAAGACUGGAGGUGAAAAUAGGAGCCUCCAAUCUUUAGGGAAAGACUUCCUUGGCGGUCCAGUGGUUAAGACUCCACGCUCCCACUGCAGGGGGCGCAGGUUCGAUCCCUGGUCGGGGAACUAAGACCCCACAUGCCUCACAGCCAAAAUAAAUAAAUUAAUUAAUAAUAAUAAGGAGGAGGGAAAGAUAACCCCCACCACCAUUUUGGAAGGUGAGAGAGGAAAGCAGUGGUCAUCAGGAGCUAGCUGGGGUUUGCUAAUCCCUGACCACUCAAGUGGGCACAAGCAUCACCUGGGAGAUGGUCAGAACUGCUGAGAAUCUCGACCCACUCUAGACCUACUCAUCACAACUCGCGUUUUGUUUUUUUUUUACCUUUCCUUUUUUUGGCCCUGCCGUGCGGCAUGCGGGGUCUUAGUUCUCCAACCAGGGAUCGAACCCGUGCGCCCUCCAUUGGGAGCAUGGGGUCUUAACCACCGGACCACCAGGGAAGUCCCACAACUUGCAUUGAACAAGAUUCAGAGGUGAUUCGAAUGUACAUUCAAGACUGAGACGCGCUUAUCGCAAGAAAAAAAAAAAUUGGAACUACGUGUGGUGAUGGAUUGUGCUGGUCAUUUCACAAUAUAUACAAAUAUAGAAUCAUCAUUAUGUUGUACACCUGAACCUAAUAUAAUGUUAUAUGCCAAUUAUACCUUAAAAAAAGAAAAAGAGAAUAAAAAACAGACAAGAAGCACUGCUGUGACCUACUGUUGGACCCUGUAUGAGAUAUCCACAUGGCUUACCUCUUCACCUCCUUCAAGUCAUUGCCGAGAUGUCUCCUCCUCAAUGAAGCCUCUCUUGAUCACCCUACUGAAAAUUGUAACCCACGCUUUAUUCCUCUCCUUCACCUGUGCUGUCCCUUAUUCUGCUUUUUCCAAAGUGCUUAUUACUUCUUUUUUUUUCUUUAAAUUUCUUUAUUUUUGGCUGUGUUGGGUCUUCAUUGCUGCGUUCAGGCUUUCUCUAGUUGUGUUGAGCAGGGGCUACUUUUUUAGUUGCAGUGUGUGAGCUUCUCAUUGCGGUGGCUUCUCUUGUUGCAAAGCAUGGGCUCUAGGUGUGCAGGGUUCAGUAGUGUGGCACAUGGGCUCAGUAGUUGGGGCGCACAGGCUUAGUUGCUCUGUGACAUGUGAGAUCUUCCCAGACCAGGGCUCGAACCUGUGUCCCCUGCGCUGGCAGGCGGAUUCUUAACCACUGCGCCACCAUGGAAGUUCCUACUGCUUUUUUUUUCAAUUGAAGUAUAGUUGAUUUACAAUAUUGUGUUAGUUUCAGGUGUACAGCAAAGUGACUUGGUUAUAUAUGUAUAUAUCUAUAUUCUUUUUUCAAUUCUUUUCCAUUAUAGUUUAUU